rnacentral:hammerhead_ribozyme from 1 species
AUCCAUCUGAUGAGUCCCAAAUGGAACGAAAUGUUCGUCUUGGAU